UACGUAGGAGACGAGCGUUGUCCGGAGUUACUGGGCGUAAAGGGUGCGCAGGGGGCGGCGCGCGUGGGGGGUGAAAUCGCCCGGCUUAACUGGGCGGGGGCCUUCCAGACGGCGUGGCUUGAGCAGCGGAGGGGGACGUGGAAUUCCGGGUGGAGCGGUGAAAUGCUUAGAUAUGACAUAGAACACCGAUUGCGAAGGCAGCUGGCUACAGGUAUAUUGACACUGAGGCACGAAAGCGUGGGGAUCAAACAGG
rnacentral:rRNA from 1 species